UACGUAGGGGGCAAGCGUUGUCCGGAUUUAUUGGGCGUAAAGAGCGUGUAGGCGCCAGACAGGUCCGUUGUGAAAACUCGAGGCUCAACCUCGAGAUGUCGAUGGAAACCGUCUGGCUAGAGUCCGGGAAGAGGAGUGUGGAAUUCCUGGUGUAGCGGUGAAAUGCGCAGAUAUCAGGAAGAACACCCGUGGCGAAGGCGGCUCUCUGGGACGGUACUGACGCUGAGACGCGAAAGCGUGGGGAGCGAACAGG
rnacentral:rRNA from 1 species